rnacentral:tRNA from 1 species
GGAGAGAUGGGUGAGUGGCUGAAACCAACAGUUUGCUAAACUGUCGUACUGGUUACAUCCGGUACCGGGGGUUCGAAUCCCCCUCUCUCCG